UACGGAGGGUGCAAGCGUUAUCCGGAUUCACUGGGUUUAAAGGGUGCGUAGGAGGACUGGUAAGUCAGUGGUGAAAUCCCCGAGCUUAACUUGGGAACUGCCGUUGAUACUAUCAGUCUUGAAUACCGUGGAGGUGAGCGGAAUAUGUCAUGUAGCGGUGAAAUGCUUAGAUAUGACACAGAACACCGAUUGCGAAGGCAGCUGGCUAAACUAAAAUUGACGCUGAGGCACGAAAGUGUGGGGAUCAAACAGG
rnacentral:rRNA from 1 species